GCCUGCCCUGCCCGCGCACACCGCCUGCUCCCGACACCGCACCUGCCGUCUGUCCAGCAGGUAUUCAGCCACGUCCAGGAAAGCAGGUCUCCAUCACACCCAGUGGUUCCCUGGGGAGACAAAUGCCAUCCCAAAUGUUGCCUGUUACUCCUUUCCCUCAGUUUUUAUUGCCAAGCAGAAUGCCAGACAGCAUGGCCAUGGUGAGCCCAAACACUAAUCCUCUGUCUCAGCUGUAGGCCCUCCCAACUUCUUGUGCACUCCAGCCCACGGACUGGCAGGGCAACAUGAGGAGCAGAAAAGGCCUUGAUGAUGGAUGAGAUCCUCUCUGCUAUGAUUAAAGUUCCCCUGAGUUAACAGCAAAUAUAGGACACAUGUGGUCUGCUCUGAGAAAAGUCAACUAAAUCCUACACAAAAUAGCACAGCUAAGCUUCCUCAAAACAGGUACUAAAUAAUGCAAAAAGAAACCGCAUAAAAUGGACACUGAGACUGAAACACAGAUGAAGACUGUGCUGCCAUUAACCUCAAUAAGCUGUAGAGCUGAGAAGAGAGAAAGCGAAUGACGUUCAGCAAUGCAUUUAAAUGGCCACUAACUUUGUAGCAUGUGAAAAUCUCAGAAUGAUCAAUAGCUUCACCUCCGUAAUGUAUUGAAACUAUGUGGCAGGAUUUUUGCUAGUGGGGGUCGCUGUAAGAGGACUUCUACAAGAAGACACCAUAAACUGCCUACAUCUCACUCAGACAGAGCCAGUUCCAGCCAGCUACAAGCUAGACCCACCACUGGCCAAAGCUGAAACAAUCAAUGACAUCAGCAUCUCUAUAAUAAAAUAUUUAAGACUAAAAAAUACUGUGCAGCAGCUCUAAGACAGGGAUGAAAACAUGACAGAAGCAACCCCACAGACACCAAGGUUAUGGGAGCAGGAGGAGGUGCUUCAGGUGUUGAAUUCUAACGCCAUGAUGCAGACUAUGGUGAGACAGCUGUGUCCCUGCAGCCACUGAGGUCCAUAGAGAAGCAGAUAUCAAUAUCAACUGGGAGAGCCCCAUGGUGGAGCUGGAGUUUCCUGCAGAAACUCCAUGGCAGAUAUUACCUGCAGGAAACUUCAGCCUGUAAAGUGCCCACACAGGAACAGGCACCCAACAGGACCUACACCCCUUGGAGAGAAGCACAUACAGGUGCGGGUUUUCUGACAGAACCAGUAGCAAGGACCGAUGUUGAAUUUAAUGAAAGACUGUAUCCCAUGGGUGGCACCCUACACCAAAGCAGUGAAAAAGCGUGAGGAAAAAGGAAAGGCAGAGAUUAAGAGCUUUGAACUGACUGCAACUACAAUUUUCCCAUCUCCCAUAUGACUUGGGACUAGGGAGAGAUAGGACUGAGCUGAGCACAGGAAGAAAGGAGGGGUGAGGGAAGGACAUUUCUAGUUUUGUGCUUAUUUCUCACCAUGUCCUUCUUUUACAAUUCAUGUGUAAUAAAUUCAUUUCUCCAAGUGAAACAUGUUUUGCCCAUGACAAUAUUAAGUGAUCUUCUUGUCGUUAUUUUAAUUGAACUUUCUCCCUCUGUCCUUUUGAAGAAGUGGAGUGAUAGAGUGGUCUGAUGGGAACCUGGUGGCUCAGCCAAGGUCAACACAUCAUAUCCCAAUGUAAACAACACUGAGUAUGCUUGUUCAAUUGUCAGGAAGCAGGUUUAAAACAAAAUCAACAGAACAUUUUCUGACACAAUAGCUAUCCUUCAACUAAUUCAGAAGCAGUAACAUACAACCACUAGCCACAUUGUUACAGCCUGGCCCUUUACAGCAAGAAGCACAAGUGCUAUAUAUCAGCACAGGCAUGUGGUCCCUGUUUUCAGGGAUCAAGUUAAUUCCCUGACAGGCUACUAAUCAGGAGUUAAUUUGCUCCUAUAUCCUCUGUCAGGUAGAUAUGCUCUUCUUCAUUCUGUAGUGCCCCAGGUACAAAACAAGUGGAAGACCUACUUGUUUUGCUUUCAGAAAUAUAGGAAGGAUUAAAUUUUUACUCUUUGUACAGUAAGUUUACAAAUAGGAAAAAAUAAAAAAAAUUGCCCCAUCAAAGUUAAUGGAAUCUCUGUGGCUAACUCCUGUAAGGCCAGUCUUUUAUCCUAAGUAUUGGUGAGGGCUAGUUUUUUGGUUUUGGUUGUUUUGUUUUGGGUUUUUUUCUGACUUUCCUGGAAUGAGCUUCCUUUGCUUGAUCUCUACACAAGGAUUCCAAAAUUUUUUAUUUGUCUACAAUGAAAAAAAAAUUCCUUUAUAUACUCAGAUCAGGAAUUUUCCACUUGAAUUACUGAAAAUUGG